UUAGAGUUUGAUCCUGGCUCAGGAUGAACGCCGGCGGUGUGCCUAAUACAUGCAAGUCGUACGCACUGGCCCAACUGAUUGACGGUGCUUGCACCGGAUUGACGAUGGAUCACCAGUGAGUGGCGGACGGGUGAGUAACACGUAGGUAACCUGCCCCGGAGCGGGGGAUAACAUUUGGAAACAGAUGCUAAUACCGCAUAACAACAAAAGCUACAUGGCUUUUGUUUGAAAGAUGGCUUUGGCUAUCACUCUGGGAUGGACCUGCGGUGCAUUAGCUAGUUGGUAAGGUAACGGCUUACCAAGGCGAUGAUGCAUAGCCGAGUUGAGAGACUGAUCGGCCACAAUGGAACUGAGACACGGUCCAUACUCCUACGGGAGGCAGCAGUAGGGAAUCUUCCACAAUGGGCGCAAGCCUGAUGGAGCAACACCGCGUGAGUGAAGAAGGGUUUCGGCUCGUAAAGCUCUGUUGUUGGAGAAGAACGUGCGUGAGAGUAACUGUUCACGCAGUGACGGUAUCCAACCAGAAAGUCACGGCUAACUACGCGCCAGCAGCCGCGGUAAUACGUAGGUGGCAAGCGUUAUCCGGAUUUAUUGGGCGUAAAGCGAGCGCAGGCGGUUGCUUAGGUCUGAUGUGAAAGCCUUCGGCUUAACCGAAGAAGUGCAUCGGAAACCGGGCGACUUGAGUGCAGAAGAGGACAGUGGAACUCCAUGUGUAGCGGUGGAAUGCGUAGAUAUAUGGAAGAACACCAGUGGCGAAGGCGGCUGUCUGGUCUGCAACUGACGCUGAGGCUCGAAAGCAUGGGUAGCGAACAGGAUUAGAUACCCUGGUAGUCCAUGCCGUAAACGAUGAGUGCUAGGUGUUGGAGGGUUUCCGCCCUUCAGUGCCGGAGCUAACGCAUUAAGCACUCCGCCUGGGGAGUACGACCGCAAGGUUGAAACUCAAAGGAAUUGACGGGGGCCCGCACAAGCGGUGGAGCAUGUGGUUUAAUUCGAAGCUACGCGAAGAACCUUACCAGGUCUUGACAUCUUGCGCUAACCUUAGAGAUAAGGCGUUCCCUUCGGGGACGCAAUGACAGGUGGUGCAUGGUCGUCGUCAGCUCGUGUCGUGAGAUGUUGGGUUAAGUCCCGCAACGAGCGCAACCCUUGUUACUAGUUGCCAGCAUUAAGUUGGGCACUCUAGUGAGACUGCCGGUGACAAACCGGAGGAAGGUGGGGACGACGUCAGAUCAUCAUGCCCCUUAUGACCUGGGCUACACACGUGCUACAAUGGACGGUACAACGAGUCGCAAGCUCGCGAGAGUAAGCUAAUCUCUUAAAGCCGUUCUCAGUUCGGACUGUAGGCUGCAACUCGCCUACACGAAGUCGGAAUCGCUAGUAAUCGCGGAUCAGCAUGCCGCGGUGAAUACGAUCCCGGGCCUUGUACACACCGCCCGUCA
rnacentral:rRNA from 1 species